rnacentral:rRNA from 1 species
UACGAAGGGGGGCUAGCGUUGCUCGGAAUCACUGGGCGUAAAGGGUGCGUAGGCGGGUCUUUAAGUCAGGGGUGAAAUCCUGGAGCUCAACUCCAGAACUGCCUUUGAUACUGAAGAUCUUGAGUUCGGGAGAGGUGAGUGGAACUGCGAGUGUAGAGGUGAAAUUCGUAGAUAUUCGCAAGAACACCAGUGGCGAAGGCGGACUCACUGGCCCGAUACGUGACGCUGAGGCAC